AUUGAACGCUGGCGGCAGGCUUAACACAUGCAAGUCGAACGAGUGGCGGACGGGUGAGGAAUGAUUGGGAAUCAUGCUUAUGGAGGGGGUUAACUACGGGAAACUGUAGCUAAUACCGCGUACAAUAGGAUGAGACCAUGUGGGAUUGGGUAGUUGGUAAGGUAAAGGCUUGCCAAGCCGACGAUCGCGAGCUGUUCUGAGAGGAGGACCAGCCACACUGGGACUUGGACACGGCCCAGACGCCGACGGGAGGCAGCAGUGGGGAAUGGUGCGCAGUGGGGGCAACCUGACGCAGCCAUGCCGAGUGAAUGAAGAAGGCCUUCGGGUUGUAAAGUUCUUUCGGUAGCGAGGCGUUAACUACAGAAGAAGCACCGGCUAACUCCGUGCCAGCAGCCGCGGUAAUAC
rnacentral:rRNA from 1 species